AUUGAACGCUGGCGGCAGGCCUAACACAUGCAAGUCGAACGGUAACAGGAAGAAGCUUGCUUCUUUGCUGACGAGUGGCGGACGGGUGAGUAAUGUCUGGGAAACUGCCUGAUGGAGGGGGAUAACUACUGGAAACGGUAGCUAAUACCGCAUAACGUCGCAAGACCAAAAAGGGGGGCCUUCGGGCCUCUUGCCAUCGGAUGUGCCCAGAUGGGAUUAGCUAGUAGGUGGGGUAACGGCUCACCUAGGCGACGAUCCCUAGCUGGUCUGAGAGGAUGACCAGCCACACUGGAACUGAGACACGGUCCAGACUCCUACGGGAGGCAGCAGUGGGGAAUAUUGCACAAAGGGCGCAAGCCUGAUGCAGCCAUGCCGCGUGUAUGAAGAAGGCCUUCGGGUUGUAAAGUACUUUCAGCGGGGAGGAAGGGAGUAAAGUUAAUACCUUUGCUCAUUGACGUUACCCGCAGAAGAAGCACCGGCUAACUCCGUG
rnacentral:rRNA from 1 species